rnacentral:rRNA from 1 species
AGAGCAUAGGGUGAAUGCCUUGGCACCAAGAGCCGAAGAAGGACGUGAUAAGCUGCGAAAAGCUGUGAGGAGGAGCAAAUAUCCGAUAUAUUCACAGAUAUCCGAAUGAGGAAACUCUAGUCAAGUAAAAGUUGACUAAUCCAUACGUAAGUAAAGUAGCGUAUAGGAGGGGAACGUAGGGAACUGAAACAUCUAAGUACCUACAGGAAAAGAAAGAAAACUCGAUUCCUUGAGUAGUGGCGAGCGAAAGAGGAAGAGCCUAAACCAGAGAAAGUAAUUUUUCUGGGGUGAUGGACUACAUAAUUGAUUCAUGAGAUUUAGCAGAACUGUUUGGAAAAUCAGACCAAAGAUAGUGAAAGUCUAGUAAGCGAAAAAUCAAAUGACAUGGUAGUAUCCAGAGUAGUGCGAGACACGGGAAAUCUCGUAUGAACAAGUGGGGACCACCCCAUAAGGCUAAAUACUACUUGGUGACCGAUAGUGAAGCAGUACCGUGAGGGAAAGGUGAAAAGAACCCCGGGAGGGGAGUGAAAGAGAACCUGAAACCCUAUGUUUACAAGCAGACAAAGCACGUUAAGGUGCGAUGUCGUACUUUUUGUAGAACGGUCCGGCGAGUUAUUUUAUAUGGCAAGGUUAAGUACUUAAGGUACGAAGCCGAAGAGAAAUCGAGUCUGAAUAGGGCGAGAAAGUCAUAUGGAAUAGACCCGAAACCGAGUGACCUAUCCAUGAGCAGGUUGAAGCUUGAGUAAAAUCAAGUGGAGGACCGAACCCAUAAGCGUUAAAAAGCUUCGGGAUGACUUGUGGAUAGCGGAGAAAUUCCAAUCGAACUCGGAGAUAGCUGGUUCUCCUCGAAAUAGUUUUAGGACUAGCCUUGUUUAGUAGUACAUGGGGGUAGAGCACUGAAGGAGCUAGGGGCCAAACCAGGUUACCGAACUCUAUCAAACUCCGAAUACCAUGUAUCGCGGAUGGUGGUGUUACUUCCACAAAGGCACAUGCUCUGUUGAAAUAUACCGUGACAGAAGCCACAAGUGAUACAGAUCAGAAAACUCAGGCGGGGGAAUAACAAGCCGGGCAGCAGCGGCGGCAAAUACUGUUGACUACAGUGCUUACACAAUAGCACAGCUAAAAGCAGCAGCCAAGGAAAAAGAAAUCCCAGGAUAUUCUAAAAUGAAAAAAGAAGAAACUAUAUAAAAGUAAUAGGUAUUGUUAGAUACAGUUGAGUGGUAGAGGAGCAUUCUAUAGUAGGACGAAGCAUAACCGAAAGGAUAUGUGGACGAGAUAGAAGAGAGAAUGCCGGAAUAAGUAGCGAAAGCAUGGUGAGAAUCCAUGCCAUCGAAAGUCUAAGGUUUCCUGGGGAAGGUUCGUCCGCCCAGGGUAAGUCGGGACCUAAGGUGAGGCCGAAAGGCGUAGCCGAUGGACAGCAGGUUGAAAUUCCUGCACCACCGAAAUACUUAAAAGAUGCAAGGGACACAGGAGUGGAAGGAAAGCGAGGAAGAGGAAAAACUCGUAUCGAAAGAUAUAGUGAAAAUAGAAAGUAACGAAUUUCCAAGAAGCACACUGGCGAGAAAAGCUUGUAGAUAUUGUAUAGAGGUGCCCGUACCGCAAACCGACACAGGUAGAUGAGGAGAGGAUCCUAAGAUGAGCGAGAGAAGCAUUGUUAAGGAACUCGGCAAACUGACCCCGUAACUUAGGGAGAAGGGGUACUGGGAUAAAACCCAGUCGCAGAGAAUAGUCCCAAGCAACUGUUUAACAAAAACACAGGUUUCUGCUAAAUCGAAAGAUGAAGUAUAGGAGCUGACACCUGCCCAGUGCUGGAAGGUUAAGGGAAAAUGUCAAGAGUAAUCUGAAGCAUAGAACCAAAGCCCCAGUGAACGGCGGCCGUAACUAUAACGGUCCUAAGGUAGCGAAAUUCCUUGUCAGGUAAGUUCUGACCCGCACGAAAGGUGUAAUGAUUUGGGAGCUGUCUCGACAAUGUACUCGGCGAAAUUGUAGUACUAGUGAAGAUGCUAGUUACCUGCGACAAGACAGAAAGACCCCAUGGAGCUUUACUGUAGUUUGAUACUGGGUUUUGAUUAUUUAUGUACAGGAUAGGUGGGAGACGAUGAAACAUUGGCGCCAGUCGAUGCGGAGUCACCCUUGGGAUACCACCCUUAAAUGAUUGAAAUUCUAACCAAUAGUCAUAAACUGGCUAGGGGACAAUGUCAGACGGGCAGUUUGACUGGGGCGGUCGCCUCCAAAAGAGUAACGGAGGCGCGCAAAGGUUUCCUCAGCGCGGACAGAAAUCGCGCAAAAGAGUGCAAAGGCAGAAGGAAGCUUAACUGAGAGACUGACAAGUCGACCAGAUACGAAAGUAGGUCUUAGUGAUCCGGUGGUUGUAAGUGGAAAUGCCAUCGCUCAACGGACAAAAGUUACCCUGGGGAUAACAGGCUUAUCUCCCCCAAGAGUUCACAUCGACGGGGAGGUUUGGCACCUCGAUGUCGGCUCAUCACAUCCUGGAGCGGAAGUACGUUCCAAGGGUUGGGCUGUUCGCCCAUUAAAGUGGUACGCGAGCUGGGUUCAGAACGUCGUGAGACAGUUCGGUCCUUAUCUGUCGCAGGCGGAGGAUAUUUGAGGGGAGUUGGCCCUAGUACGAGAGGACCAGGCUGAACUUACCAAUGGUGCACCAGUUGUCAUACCAAUGGCAUAGCUGGGUAGCUAAGUAGGGAAGGGAUAAACGCUGAAAGCAUCUAAGUGUGAAGCCCACCCCAAGAUAAGAUAUCCCAUACCGUAAGGUAGU